CUGCAUUUUACUUGUGCAUAGAGUGACAGGUUUUUGUAACGCCACAACAGCGGGUGCAAUGUCAAUACGUCCGUAGUGAAUUAUAACCUGGCAGAUUAGACAGCACAUUUUUAUAUUUAGUGAAGGUAGCGGUCCAGCAGUGUGUACAUGGAUUCUAAUUUUACAAGUUUACAUCUGUAAGCUAUAAACAGAGGCAUGUAGGGAACCUGAGGCUUAGUGCCCAAUAUAGUUAUAGACCAACCCUUGUAGGAUUAGCUGUCCCGUCGUGAGGUACCUAUGUUGUUUUCCAA